CACAAGCACCAGAUCUCGAAAACAGAUUACAAAACAGAAGCCCUUUAUAGGGCAGAACUGAGUCUAGGAAGAGGAACAUCCUUUUGAUUUUGUCUUCAAAAUGGGUUCCAGCAGGGGCACGGACAAGCUGUGUGUGCCAGGCUGCAAUACACUGAAAGCUAUCCAAUUCAAGGUAACUCGGCGUGACAAGGGAAGUUCCUUUUCUGACCUGAAACUCAGAGUGACGUCCUGAGCUACUAAAUGUACCCCACACAGGGGUGGCUGGCUGGGGCAACCUCGCCCACUAUGGAAGGAAGCUCCGAGAGGAACAAGCCUUCCCACUGCUGCUGCUCCUGACACAUGGAAGCCACUACUCAGGUUUUGUUGGGUGAGGAAAAACAUUUGAAGCAGAGAUGGCUCAACCUGAUUGAAAAUCCAACCCAUGAGGCCUGAUAUGGUGGCGCAAGGCCUGUAAUUUCAACACUAGAGAGGCCAAAGGAGGGAGAUUGGGAGUUUGAGGCCAUCCUGGGCUACACAGGAGAUCUUGUCUUAAAAACAAGCCAAAGGAAAAUGCAGACUGCCCACCUCCUGCAUGCUGGUCUCCAUCUAGGCUCACUGCUCUCUGACCCCCACAGCACAUGGCACCUUCCGGCACUGCACACCACUUACUUACAUUUACCAUCCACCUGCUCACUAGAAUUUAAGCCCCAGAGUGAAGCAAGCUUUUACCUCUUCACUGAUGUGUCUUAUGCACCUAUAAUAGGGUCUGACACAGAGAAGGCCCUUGCUAGAUACUCACUAAAAAGCUCAACAAUUUGUACCAGAGUAGAUAUAUGUUUGUAAAUCAAUAUUAAAUAAAGUUAUUGCUGAUUACAA